rnacentral:misc_RNA from 1 species
UACAGAGACCUCAAACGUUGUCCGGAUUCAUUGGGCGUAAAGCGUCCGCAGGUGGUUUGACAAGUCAUUGGUCAAAUCCUGGAGCUUAACUUCAGGACUGCUGAUGAUACUGUCAAACUUGAGGCUGGGAGAGGCAAGCGGAACUAUCGGUGUAGUCGUAAUAAGCGCUGAUAUCGAUAGGAACACCAAAGGCGAAGGCAGCUUGCUGGAACAUGCCUGACACUCAUGGACGAAAGCGUGGGUAGCGAAGGGG